CGAACGGGUGAGUAACACGUGGGUAACCUGCCCAUCAGAAGGGGAUAACACUUGGAAACAGGUGCUAAUACCGUAUAACAAUCGAAACCGCAUGGUUUCGUUUUGAAAGGCGCUUUACGGUGCCGCUGAUGGAUGGACCCGCGGUGCAUUAGCUAGUUGGUGAGGUAACGGCUCACCAAGGCCACGAUGCAUAGCCGACCUGAGAGGGUGAUCGGCCACAUUGGGACUGAGACACGGCCCAAACUCCUACGGGAGGCAGCAGUAGGGAAUCUUCGGCAAUGGACGAAAGUCUGACCGAGCAACGCCGCGUGAGUGAAGAAGGUUUUCGGAUCGUAAAACUCUGUUGUUAGAGAAGAACAAGGGUGAGAGUAACUGUUCACCCCUUGACGGUAUCUAACCAGAAAGCCACGGCUAACUACGUGCCAGCAGCCGCGGUAAUACGUAGGUGGCAAGCGUUGUCCGGAUUUAUUGGGCGUAAAGCGAGCGCAGGCGGUUUCUUAAGUCUGAUGUGAAAGCCCCCGGCUCAACCGGGGAGGGUCAUUGGAAACUGGGAGACUUGAGUGCAGAAGAGGAGAGUGGAAUUCCAUGUGUAGCGGUGAAAUGCGUAGAUAUAUGGAGGAACACCAGUGGCGAAGGCGGCUCUCUGGUCUGUAACUGACGCUGAGGCUCGAAAGCGUGGGGAGCAAACAGGAUUAGAUACCCUGGUAGUCCACGCCGUAAACGAUGAGUGCUAAGUGUUGGAGGGUUUCCGCCCUUCAGUGCUGCAGCUAACGCAUUAAGCACUCCGCCUGGGGAGUACGACCGCAAGGUUGAAACUCAAAGGAAUUGACGGGGGCCCGCACAAGCGGUGGAGCAUGUGGUUUAAUUCGAAGCAACGCGAAGAACCUUACCAGGUCUUGACAUCCUUUGACCACUCUAGAGAUAGAGCUUCCCCUUCGGGGGCAAAGUGACAGGUGGUGCAUGGUUGUCGUCAGCUCGUGUCGUGAGAUGUUGGGUUAAGUCCCGCAACGAGCGCAACCCUUAUUGUUAGUUGCCAUCAUUUAGUUGGGCACUCUAGCAAGACUGCCGGUGACAAACCGGAGGAAGGUGGGGAUGACGUCAAAUCAUCAUGCCCCUUAUGACCUGGGCUACACACGUGCUACAAUGGGAAGUACAACGAGUCGCAAAGUCGCGAGGCUAAGCUAAUCUCUUAAAGCUUCUCUCAGUUCGGAUUGUAGGCUGCAACUC
rnacentral:rRNA from 1 species